rnacentral:rRNA from 1 species
AUUGAACGCUGGCGGCAUGCUUUACACAUGCAAGUCGAACGGUAACAGGCCGCAAGGUGCUGACGGGUGGCGAACGGGUGAGUAAUGCAUCGGAACGUGCCCAGUCGUGUGGGAUAACUACUCGAAAGAGUAGCUAAUACCGCAUACGAUCUAUGGAUGAAAGCGGGGGACCGUAAGGCCUCGCGCGAUUGGAGCGGCCGAUGUCAGAUUAGGUAGUUGGUGGGGUAAAGGCUCACCAAGCCAACGAUCUGUAGCUGGUCUGAGAGGACGACCAGCCACACUGGGACUGAGACACGGCCCAGACUCCUACGGGAGGCAGCAGUGGGGAAUUUUGGACAAUGGGCGCAAGCCUGAUCCAGCAAUGCCGCGUGCAGGAAGAAGGCCUUCGGGUUGUAAACUGCUUUUGUACGGAACGAAACGGCUCUGGUUAAUACCCGGGGCUAAUGACGGUACCGUAAGAAUAAGCACCGGCUAACUACGUG